rnacentral:rRNA from 1 species
CAGGCCUAACACAUGCAAGUCGAACGGAUAGUAGCAAUACUAUUAGUGGCGCACGGGUGCGUAACACGUAGCUAACCUGCCCAGAACUGGGGGAUAGCCCGCCGAAAGGCGGAUUAACACCGCAUAAUAUCUGUACCCGGCAUCGGGUGCUGAUUAAAUCUACGGAGGUUCUGGAUGGGGCUGCGGGUCAUUAGCUAGUUGGUACGGUAACGGCGUACCAAGGCGACGAUGACUAGGGGAGCUGAGAGGCUGGUCCCCCACACGGGCACUGAGAUACGGGCCCGACUCCUACGGUAGGCAGCAGUAGGGAAUAUUGGACAAUGGGCGCAAGCCUGAUCCAGCCAUGCCGCGUGAGUGAUGACGGCCCUAGGGUUGUAAAGCUCUUUUACCUGGGAAGAUAAUGACGGUACCAGGAGAAUAACCCCGGCUAACUUCGUGCCAGCAGCCGCGGUAAU